rnacentral:rRNA from 1 species
AUUGAACGCUGGCGGCAGGCCUAACACAUGCAAGUCGAACGAGUGGCGGACGGGUGAGUAAUGUCUGGGAAACUGCCCGAUGGAGGGGGAUAACUACUGGAAACGGUAGCUAAUACCGCAUACCAUCGGAUGUGCCCAGAUGGGAUUAGCUAGUGGGUGGGGUAACGGCUCACCUAGGCGCCGAUCCCUAGCUGGGCUGAGAGGAUGACAAGCCACACGGGAACUGGGACACGGUCAAGACUCCUACGGGAGGAAGCAGUGGGGAAUAUUGCACAAGGGGCGCAAGCCUGAUACAGCCAUGCCGCGGGGAUGAAGAAGGCCUUCGGGUUGUAAAGUACUUUCAGCGAGGAGGCGUUACUCGCAGAAGAAGCACCGGCUAACUCCGUGCCAGCAGCCGCGGUAAUAC